rnacentral:rRNA from 1 species
GACAGAGGCCACAAGCGUUAGGCGGAAUCACUGGGCUUAAAGCGUGUGUAGGCGGAAGCGUAAGUGCCUUGUGAAAUCCCACGGCUUAACCGUGGAACUGCUGGGCAUACUGCGUUUCUUGAGCCACUCAGGGGUCGCUGGAACAAACGGUGGAGCGGUGAAAUGCGUAGAUAUUGGAAGGAACAUCGGUGGCGAAGGCGACCUUCUGGACAGAUACUGACACUGAGGCACGAGAGCAUGGGGAGCAAACAGG